GUUUGCGACGGGUCCGUACAAAAAUAUACAGCGAAAAGGCGCGAACGCAAAAACAAGGGAGGAGGUCGUUCGUUCCCGGCGAACCGUCCAUAAUUCACGAUCCGCAAUCCAUUUGAUCUACGAAAUGACGGUAGUCUGUCUUCGACUCGGUCGUUUUACAUUUUGUUAUUAUUUAACUCGAUUGUGUGUACCUAUAUAAUAUAAACCAUCAAAUACGGGUCACUCG